rnacentral:rRNA from 1 species
AACGAACGCUGGCGGCAGGCUUAACACAUGCAAGUCGAACGCAUGCCUUCGGGCAUGAGUGGCAGACGGGUGAGUAACGCGUGGGAACCUACCCCUUGGUACGGGAUAGCUCCGGGAAACUGGAGAUAAUACCGUAUGUGUCCUGAGGGACAAAGAUUCAUCGCCAAGGGAUGGGCCCGCGUCGGAUUAGCUAGUUGGUGGGGUAACGGCCUACCAAGGCGACGAUCCGUAGCUGGUCUAAGAGGAUGAUCAGCCACAUUGGGACUGAGACACGGCCCAAACCCCUACGGGAGGCAGCAGUGGGGAAAAUUGGACAAUGGGCGAAAGCCUGACCCAGCCAUGCCGGGGGAGUGAUGAAGUCCCUAGGGUUGUAAAGCUCUUUCACCGGUGACGAUAAUGACGGUAACCGGAGAAGAAGCCCCGGCUAACUUCGU